rnacentral:lncRNA from 1 species
AAACAAUUGCGCUACAACAGGGAAGUCUUUUUUUUUUUUUUUUUUGCAUGGGGAGGGGAAAAAAAGCAACCUUACCAUUCCCUCUCCCAUAUGCUUCAACUUUCAUGUCUGUUUUGCCAUCUAUUCCAUUAACACUAUGAUUAAUGAAAGCUCUCCAGAAUUUCAAAUACCUUGAAAAGUAGCCAACGCCUGCACUUUGGAAGCUACACUGAAAAUAAAUAACAAUAAAAACAGGGUGAUCCAGGCUUUUGAAGUCUUUAAAGACAUCAGCCCUGUGAUCUUUGUACCACUGCUGCGGAAAAGAGGACAACAUUUCACAUUUCUGGCAUUACUAAUGACAGCACGGCAACUGAAAGAAAGCAUGAAUUUCUGGGAGUAGCAUUAGGAUACAGGAUUCCUGCUGAGCUCACCAGUUCCUUGCUCUGCACAGCUGCCUUCUCAGCUGGGGAUUUUAAACCAGCACUGUGAGAAAGACAGAAAUGACCAUGAUGCAUUUUCCUCACUAUGAGAAAAAGAUUUUCCUCAUUGCAAAUUCAAGAGAAUACAGAAUUUCUUCUGCAAAUCUGUCCUUGAGAUGGGGAAAGAAAGGAAGCCUCUUAGUGCUUCGCUCAGUGUUAGUAAUUGGUCUGGGGAUUCUGGCUUGCCAUUACUCUAAGGAGGGAUAAGAUUGGAUGAAUAUGAGAAAAAAGGGAAGAAAAAUGACGGCUGAGAAGAGUUUGGAGGCAGGCUGUAGACCUCUUACCGUGUGAAGAUAACUGACCUCCCGCAAUGAAAGACCAUGGCCUUAUAAGACAUUUUCUACAGCAACACAUUCUAUGGACUUACACACAUAUUGGGACAUAGAUAUGAAUUGCAAUGCUUGUAUAAGGAAUAGAUCUUGCAGUGUCUGCCAUAUAUAGUAUAUGUUCAGUACGUAUUUAUUGAACAAUUGCAUACGUGAAUGAGUGAAUGAAGAAAUAAAAUAACAUAGACUAGUGACUUCCUGAUAUCAAAAUACUCCUAAAUUGUUUUCACAGCUAAUAAUUAGAACCUCAGCACAGAUUUUAUUUCAAGUUGGACUUUGGAAUUCUGAAGUGGAAAGAAGCAAGAAG